GACGAACGCUGGCGGCGUGCUUAACACAUGCAAUUCGAACGGUAAGGCUCCAGCUUGCUGGGGUACACGAGUGGCGAACGGGUGAGUAACACGUGGGUGACCUGCCCUGCACUUCGGGAUAAGCCUGGGAAACUGGGUCUAAUACCGGAUAGGACCGCACCGUGAGGGUGUGGUGGAAAGUUUUUUCGGUGUGGGAUGGGCCCGCGGCCUAUCAGCUUGUUGGUGGGGUAAUGGCCUACCAAGGCGGCGACGGGUAGCCGGCCUGAGAGGGUGGACGGCCACAUUGGGACUGAGACACGGCCCAGACUCCUACGGGAGGCAGCAGUGGGGAAUAUUGCACAAUGGGCGGAAGCCUGAUGCAGCGACGCCGCGUGGGGGAUGACGGCCUUCGGGUUGUAAACUCCUUUCACCAUCGACGAAGGGUUUCUGACGGUAGAUGGAGAAGAAGCACCGGCUAACUACGUGCCAGCAGCCGCGGUAAUACGUAGGGUGCGAGCGUUGUCCGGAAUUACUGGGCGUAAAGAGCUCGUAGGUGGUUUGUCGCGUCGUCUGUGAAAUUCCGGGGCUUAACUCCGGGCGUGCAGGCGAUACGGGCAUAACUUGAGUACUGUAGGGGAGACUGGAAUUCCUGGUGUAGCGGUGAAAUGCGCAGAUAUCAGGAGGAACACCGGUGGCGAAGGCGGGUCUCUGGGCAGUAACUGACGCUGAGGAGCGAAAGCAUGGGGAGCGAACAGGAUUAGAUACCCUGGUAGUCCAUGCCGUAAACGGUGGGCGCUAGGUGUGGGUUUCCUUCCACGGGAUCCGUGCCGUAGCUAACGCAUUAAGCGCCCCGCCUGGGGAGUACGGCCGCAAGGCUAAAACUCAAAGGAAUUGACGGGGGCCCGCACAAGCGGCGGAGCAUGUGGAUUAAUUCGAUGCAACGCGAAGAACCUUACCUGGGCUUGACAUAUACAGGAUCGCGCCAGAGAUGGUGUUUCCCUUGUGGCUUGUAUACAGGUGGUGCAUGGUUGUCGUCAGCUCGUGUCGUGAGAUGUUGGGUUAAGUCCCGCAACGAGCGCAACCCUUGUCUUAUGUUGCCAGCACGUUGUGGUGGGGACUCGUAAGAAACUGCCGGGGUUAACUCGGAGGAAGGUGGGGAUGACGUCAAAUCAUCAUGCCCCUUAUGUCCAGGGCUUCACACAUGCUACAAUGGUCGGUACAGUGGGUUGCCAGUCCGUGAGGGCGAGCUAAUCCCGCAAAGCCGGUCUCAGUUCGGAUCGGGGUCUGCAACUCGACCCCGUGAAGUCGGAGUCGCUAGUAAUCGCAGAUCAGCAACGCUGCGGUGAAUACGUUCCCGGGCCU
rnacentral:rRNA from 1 species